CAGCCGCCGCGGUAAUACAGAGGGUGCGAGCGUUAGUCGGAUUUACUGGGCGUAAAGCGUGCGUAGGCGGCUUCUUAAGUCGGAUGUGAAAUCCCUGAGCUUAACUUAGGAAUUGCAUUCGAUACUGGGAAGCUAGAGUAUGGGAGAGGAUGGUAGAAUUCCAGGUGUAGCGGUGAAAUGCGUAGAGAUCUGGAGGAAUACCGAUGGCGAAGGCAGCCAUCUGGCCUAAUACUGACGCUGAGGUACGAAAGCAUGGGGAGCAAACAGGAUUAGAUACCCCAGUAGUCCCUGUCUCUUAUCA
rnacentral:rRNA from 1 species